AGCCAUUCCCCGAGUGCAGAGUGCCACCACCGAGCCUGGCCUCACCUUCCCCAGAGCCGAGCACGGUGACAUUUCGCUGGGAGGAACGCGAGCACGCCGGGGGCCAAGGCUGCUCUGUGCCAAGUCCCAGCCCACAGCAGAUUUAGCAGCCAAGUUAGAAAGUACUCAGAUGACAGAGCAGAUAACAAAACCAUCGACAGAACCUGAACUAAUCCCCUUGGGCUGCUACUGGGCAUUUGCUGUUAUUAUUUCAUGGCACACCAGCGAAGCGCAUGUCUAUAAUAACCCAACCACGCACACAUUCCCAGCACAAGGAGCUCUCUGUCUUCCCCCGACCCCCAAAUCCCUCGCACGCCGCUGGUCUCCUCGGGCAGCCCCAGGUGCUGGGAUCGGGCAGGGUGUGCCGGAGGACAGAGCCCUGCUGCUCCUCUGCUUUGGUCCAUCCCUUCCGUCUCGUUUUCCCGUAACACUUCCCGGAGCUGCCGGCACGGUGUGCAGCGGGUGCCGGAGCAGCAGCGAGCGCUCUGCUGCCUGCAGGGCACGGGGAUGCCCUGUCCUCUCCUAAACUCCCCUCGUCCCGCUCCGCGUUUUCCCUCGGGAGCACAGCUGUGACAACUCCCCAACAAGCCAGAGGGAGCCCGGGGAGCGAGAGGCACCGCCGGGGCAGGAGCAGCAGCACCGGGGCCGGAGAUAACCUUAUGAAUUGAUGUCUCCAGCAUCACUGCUCAGUGAGUGACAAACGAGGACACAUCCCCAUCAAGCAAAUCUCUGUUCUCACCUCUGCUUUUGGGAUUCCCCUUUUCUGUGGCCCUGGCACCUUGUUUUUCUCCUGGGCAGCCAAAGUUGGUGUUUGUACAGCUGAUGGUGGGUGGAAACAAGGCUGGAGGUCAUGUGCAGUGAACUGCCCAGGCUGCAGUUGCUGAACUCUGAGGCUGCAUUGUCACAAACUCCCUGUGGAAGCCUCAGAUCCAGGGAGGCACCCAGAGACCACACUGAAGACACUGAGGAGCCAUCUACAAACAGCACCAUGAGAGCUUGCACAAGGCUGGGAAUGAAUCCAGCACAGCAUCCAGUGUCCAGCCUUUCCAGAGAGAUGAGGGGUUUGCUCAGACCACUGACUUUUCAAAAGGCCAGGCUUUUCCUAGGAGGAUGAUGAUGAUCCUGAGGAGGAUGUUUGCAGCUUUCCUGUGGAUAGACUCUGCAUUGAGCUCAGCACCCUGGUGGAGAUGCCAACUGAAAGAAAAGCAUUUCAGCAGAAAUUGUGAGAAAUCAGAGUGCACAACCAGGCUGCCCUGUGCAUUUGCAAGAGUUAUUGACUUUCCACGUGAAAAGGAGAUACCACUGUCUUCUUUUACAGGAAGGAAAAGAUGGGAUCUGAUAUUUGGUUUCUGAGAAAUUUCUGGUGGGAGAUGAUGGCUGGGGAGCCUCAGUAGGACAGGGAGAGCAAUGUGGUGACUAAAACUCAUGAAACAUUUUGGAGAGCUGGGACAAAGGACCCCAAAUCACAGGUGUCUGUGCACUGGUGAGUAGAGGCUGCAGCAGCUCCCAGGAUCUCUCUGGGUGCCAUAGGAGCUGUCUUCACUUGGGAAGGCAGUCACUGGCACGUUCCAGUUCAAAGCAGUAGCUGCUGAUGGGUUGGUGCCCAUGGGCUCCCCUGCCUCACACACAGAGACAUCCUCCAGUCUGUAGCUGGUCUUGUUUCACUACCAUGAAACUCCAUCAGUGUCCCCCUGGAGCUGUGUGGGGAAUCACCAGGGCAGCUCCUGCAGAUGUUUGCUGUCUGUCAGUCAGUCUGUCUGUCUGCAGAGAGAGGGGGAACCCGACUGGCCAGGGAGCAGCUGUGCAGGAGGGAGGGAAUGGCCUCAGGGCAGAUGUUUGGGUGAGGAGGAAGUGCUCAGUCCUGAGCCUGCUGGCCUGGACACUGAAAAUAAAGCAUGGGCAGGUGAAGCAGGGAGCCUGUGCAGGUGUGAGAUCCCUCCAGGGCUCUCUCAGCACUGUUAUCCCCUGCAAGGGGUGUGAGGUCACUUCAGACUCCCUGAAACCUCCUGAGAGAUCCCAGCCAGAGGACAGGCAGCAAAGGUCACAGCCUCAUUGCUCAGAUCCCCAGACAGGCACAAAAAAACCCCAUGGCUUUUUAGCUGGCUUUUCACCUCUGGACCCAGGUUUGCUGUCUUGCCCUGUGUACAGCAGGUGAAUUCACAGUAAUUGUCCUAGUGAUCUGAGGAUACAUCUCAUGUGUUUUGAAGAGGUAAUUCCUUGACUUCUCUGACUGAAGAAUUUGGGAACACCAAAGCCCCUUUUUCAGUCACAAUUAAUGGCAUCAGCCUUCAGCUGGGAUGAGAACACAACUCCAAGAGCACAAGCCCCACUUCUGGAUGUGUGAGUACAAAGGAAAUGGAACUUCCAAGAUGCACUUGCCACAGGGAGAUUUGGAAAAUUGUCUUUCUACCUCUUCUGCUUUCCUCACCAGGAGCUGAGGGUGUCCACAUUUGGUACCUCACUUUAGUUCAAGUGGCACAGGUAAAGGCAGGGAUGUUCCUGCACCUCUCAGAACCCAUGGGCCUCUUCUGAGAAGGAAAACCUCUCAGUGGAGCUCAAACAGGAAACAUUCCUGACAUUAAUGGAUUCAGGUCCAGAAGAGCCUUCAGACCAAAAGUGGGCCAGCAUGAACGAGUUAAAAUCCUUUCCUUUGCCUGGUGAAAUGUAUUGAAAACUACAUUGUUCAUCUGUUGAAACUUCACAGCUGUUGAGAUUGCCCUGGGGGCAAACCACAUCCAAGAAAUGGCAUGUAGAUCCUGGAGCACGGGAUUUGAAAGCUGGAGCAGAGCUCUGAGUGCUGCCUCCCUUCCCUCACAGUCACUCUGGCAUCUGCAGCUCCUCCACUCAGACACUGCAGGUUUUUCUUCCUCCCUUUGUCAUCUCCCACUCCUGCAGCACAGCCACUUUGUUUCAGGCACUGAAUUUUGGCUAACUGAGCAAGGGUGCAGGCAGGAAGGUGUCUGUGGGGAGUGAGACAGGGCUGGGUGACACCAUGGCACAUCACCUGCCUGUGACACUGCUACUCUGUCAUCCCUGGGGGAGCAGUGGUGAGGCAGCCUGUGGGAAAUGUGUCAUUUGCUCGUGAAAAAUCUGUGAAUUCUGUUUAGUGGUAGCAUUUCUUUUCCCUUUUCUUUCUGCAACUCUGCUUACUAAAAACUGUACAGGAUAAAAAGGUAAUUCUUGCAUAUUUACUUCUGACCCGAGUGUUCUGUGUGAACUUGGGGACUGGAAUCAGCAACUUGGCACAGGCAAAUUAGGAGUAGCUAGAGCUCAAAGAACAAAAUAAAAGGAGGAGGUGAGAAACCCACUGACUGCACACACUCAGUCACAAAUGAUUCAUGGAGUAAUUUUGAGUAGCAAACACAUGGGUAAGAACUGAAGGGUUUGCUUCUGUCUUUUUGGGGGACUGUCCACAAACAAAAAUAUUGGCGAAUUCAUCAGACGCUUUCUCCUGCUUUGAAUAGUCUGCCCAGAUCCCCGAGCAAUCACUCAGUGCAAUUUGCUGCCGAGCUAAACAACUUCAGUCGGGGUACACCCAGAGCACUGCCCGGAUCUGCCCCU